rnacentral:rRNA from 1 species
UGUAAGCGUAUACCAAAGUUGUUGCAGUUAAAACGCUCGUAGUCGGAAUUUGGCAGUUCCGGAUGUGUGCACGUCGUGUGCGCACUUCGCGGGGAUGGCUUUUGUGGUCUUGCGUAGGAUGAGGCACUUUUAUUAGUGAACGUCCUCACGCAACCACUUUUUACUGUGAGAAAAUCAGAGUGCUCAAAGCAGGCAUUUGCCGUGAAUGUAUUAGCAUGGAAUAAUAGAAUAGGACUUGGUUCUAUUUUGUUGGUUUGUUGGGACUGAGUAAUGAUUAAGAGGGACAGUUGGGGGCAUUUGUAUUUCGGUGCUAGAGGUGAAAUUCUUAGAUUACCGAAAGACAAACUGCUGCGAAAGCGUCUGCCAAGGAUGUUUUCAUUGA